AGGGUUGUGGCUCAGUGGUAGAGUACUUGGCUAGCACAUGAGAGGCCCUGGGUUCGAUCCUCAGCACCACGU
rfam:Ictidomys tridecemlineatus contig099805, whole genome shotgun sequence.